rnacentral:rRNA from 1 species
UGAGGAAUAUUGGUCAAUGGGCGAGAGCCUGAACCAGCCAAGUAGCGUGCAGGAUGACGGCCCUAUGGGUUGUAAACUGCUUUUAUAUGGGAAUAAAGUGAGGGACGUGUCCCUUAUUGCAUGUACCAUACGAAUAAGGACCGGCUAAUUCCGUGCCAGCAGCCGCGGUAAUACGGAAGGUUCGGGCGUUAUCCGGAUUUAUUGGGUUUAAAGGGAGCGCAGGCCGUUUGGUAAGCGUGUUGUGAAAUGUAGGAGCUCAACUUCUAGAUUGCAGCGCGAACUGUCAGAAUUGAGUGCGCACAACGUAGGCGGAAUUCAUGGUGUAGCGGUGAAAUGCUUAGAUAUCAUGAAGAACUCCGAUUGCGAAGGCAGCUUACGGGAGCGCAACUGACGCUGAAGCUCGAAGGUGCGGGUAUCGAACAGG